AAUGGGCGAAAGCCUGAUGCAGCAACGCCGCGUGAGCGAUGAAGGCCUUUGGGUCGUAAAGCUCUGUCCUUGGGGAAGAAACAAAUGACGGUACCCAAGGAGGAAGCCCCGGCUAACUACGUGCCAGCAGCCGCGGUAAUACGUAGGGGGCAAGCGUUAUCCGGAAUUAUUGGGCGUAAAGAGUACGUAGGUGGUCUUUUAAGCGCAGGGUUUAAGGCAAUGGCUUAACCAUUGUUCGCCCUGUGAACUGGAAGACUUGAGUGUAGGAGAGGAAAGUGGAAUUCCUAGUGUAGCGGUGAAAUGCGUAGAUAUUAGGAGGAACAUCAGUGGCGAAGGCGACUUUCUGGACUAUUACUGACACUGAGGUACGAAAGCGUGGGGAGCAAA
rnacentral:rRNA from 1 species